rnacentral:lncRNA from 1 species
GUAUUGGCUAUUGAGAGCUACAGAAGACAAAAAAGAGUUAGACUUAGUUUGGUAUUGAUACUCAUCUAUCUGACGUUAUUAAAUAAAAUAAAGUUAGAGUAAAAAUAUAUAGAGAUACAUUUUUACGUUCUCCGAUGGAACUGCAUAAUCGACUUAUCGCAAUAUGUAGAAAAUAAUAUUACGUACGAAAACAAACAAAAUAUUUUUCUAUCAUACUUUUUCACUGCACGUAUUAUAAUCUCUUCAUAAUUUCAAACGAAGCCUUAGAGCUAAAGCGUAUAGAAAUAUGUUUUUUCUUUUCUUUUAUUUAUAUGCGGAACCGUAAAAUUGUGU